GGUGAAGCUGCAGGAAAGACGAGCUACAGGAGCUCCUUGCCGGGCCAAACUUGCCGUGCGGAAACCGACAGCGAGUGAGCGUGUAACUUGCGCAGAGACUGACCAAACGUGGAUUGAUGGCGAGCUAAGGAGCAGGCCUAGAGCCUACCGCUGGACUGCGACGGAUCGACCCCCCUUUUUGCCAGGCCGGUAGGGGGCUCCCUGUAGCUCACAA